rnacentral:rRNA from 1 species
AGAGUUUGAUCCUGGCUCAGGAUGAACGCUGGCUACAGGCUUAACACAUGCAAGUCGAGGGGCAGCAUGUUGGUUGCUUGCAACCAAUGAUGGCGACCGGCGCACGGGUGAGUAACGCGUAUCCAACCUACCCUUGUCCAUCGGAUAACCCGUCGAAAGGCGGCCUAACACGAUAUGCGGUUCUCAGCAGGCAUCUAACGAGAACGAAAUGUGAAGGAGAAGGAUGGGGAUGCGUCUGAUUAGCUUGUUGGCGGGUAACGGCCACAAGGCUACGAUCAGUAGGGUUCUGAGAGGAAGGUCCCCCAGAUUGGAACUGAGACACGGUCCAAACUCCUAGGGAGCA